UACAGAGGUCUCAAGCGUUGUUCGGAUUCAUUGGGCGUAAAGGGUGUGUAGGUGGCGCCGUAAGUCGGGUGUGAAAUUUCGGAGCUUAACUCCGAAACUGCAUUCGAUACUGCGGUGCUUGAGGACUGGAGAGGAGACUGGAAUUCAUGGUGUAGCAGUGAAAUGCGUAGAGAUCAUGAGGAAGACCAGUGGCGAAGGCGGGUCUCUGGACAGUUCCUGACAUUGAGACACGAAGGCCAGGGGAGCAAACGGG
rnacentral:rRNA from 1 species